rnacentral:lncRNA from 1 species
GACUGUGAAAGUAAAAUUAUAACUUUGCGAUCUUCAAAAAAGAAAUAAAAGUUGUUGUUAUCAUUUUUCUAACAAUUGAAUGAACAGGAAUAUGGAUGCUAAUCCUACUGUGUGUUCCAUAUCAAUUCUUUGCAAUUUUUCUGAUGUCUUUCCCAUCAAACUUUUUAGUCUACCUCCCCCACUUGAAGCAGAGUUCUUUGAUCGAAUUAUUGCUUGGGACCCAACUGAUCUCGAAGCCUGUGUAUCGCAUGAGCCACAUUGAGCUAACAGAGCUGGAACAUUAGCUUUCUGAUCUUAUC